rnacentral:rRNA from 1 species
GACGAACGCUGGCGGCGUGCCUAAUACAUGCAAGUCGAACGGUCUUUUCUAUGGAAGCUUGCUUCCACUGAGAAGAUAGUGGCGAACGGGUGAGUAACACGUGGGUAACCUGCCCGUAAGAGGGGGAUAACAUCCGGAAACGGGUGCUAAUACCGCAUAGUUUUCUUGAUCGCAUGAUCGAGAAAGGAAAGACGGCCUUUGUGCUGUCGCUUAUGGAUGGACCCGCGGCGUAUUAGUUAGUUGGUGAGGUAACGGCUCACCAAGACGAUGAUACGUAGCCGACCUGAGAGGGUGAUCGGCCACAUUGGGACUGAGACACGGCCCAAACUCCUACGGGAGGCAGCAGUAGGGAAUCUUCCGCAAUGGACGAAAGUCUGACGGAGCAACGCCGCGUGAGUGAAGAAGGUUUUCGGAUCGUAAAACUCUGUUGUCAGAGAAGAACAAGUCGGAGAGUAACUGCUCCGGCCUUGACGGUAUCUGACCAGAAAGCCACGGCUAACUACGUGCCAGCCGCCGCCGUAACAC